rnacentral:lncRNA from 1 species
UGAAAUUUCUCACCCUUGGGGAAGAGAGAAAGAAUGGGUGAACAUUUCAAAAAACAAUGUGUUAUUGUUUUGAUUUAUUUUGUUUUUAUUUCAAGUUGCCUGUUCCUAGAACUUUCUCAGGCAAACUGGGGAAAAUGGUUGGCUCAAAGUUUGAAGUUGUUCACCCCCGAGGAAGAGAAAUUGUUAGAGGAAAGAGGCACCCCAGUAAGACCAAGAACAGUUAGGACAUAUGUUGAUACAAUACAAAAAUGUAGCACAUGGCUUUUUAAAGACGAGUUAUUAAGUAUAUCAAUGGGACCAUCAUGGUA